rnacentral:rRNA from 1 species
ACCCAGACUCCUACGGGAGGCAGCAGUGGGGAAUAUUGGACAAUGGAGGGAACCCUGAUCCAGCGACGCCGCGUGAGUGAAGAAGUAUUUCGGUAUGUAAAGCUCUAUCAGCAGGGAAGAAAGAAAUGACGGUACCUGACUAAGAAGCCCCGGCUAACUACGUGCCAGCAGCCGCGGUAAUACGUAGGGGGCAAGCGUUAUCCGGAUUUACUGGGUGUAAAGGGAGCGUAGACGGCGAUGCAAGUCUGAAGUGAAAGGCGGGGGCCCAACCCCGGGAGUGCAUUGGAAACUGCCAGGCUGGAGUGUCGGAGGGGUAAGCGGAAUUCCUAGUGUAGCGGUGAAAUGCGUAGAUAUUAGGAGGAACACCAGUGGCGAAGGCGGCUUACUGGACGACUACUGACGCUGAGGCUCGAAAGCGUGGGGAGCAAACAGGAUUAGAUACCCGAGUA